rnacentral:rRNA from 1 species
GAAUAUUGGGCAAUGGACGCAAGUCUGACCCAGCAACGCCGCGUGAAGGAAGAAGGCUUUCGGGUUGUAAACUUCUUUUGUCAGGGAACAGUAGAAGAGGGUACCUGACGAAUAAGCCACGGCUAACUACGUGCCAGCAGCCGCGGUAAUACGUAGGUGGCAAGCGUUGUCCGGAUUUACUGGGUGUAAAGGGCGUGCAGCCGGGCCGGCAAGUCAGAUGUGAAAUCUGGAGGCUUAACCUCCAAACUGCAUUUGAAACUGUUGGUCUUGAGUACCGGAGAGGUUAUCGGAAUUCCUUGUGUAGCGGUGAAAUGCGUAGAUAUAAGGAAGAACACCAGUGGCGAAGGCGGAUAACUGGACGGCAACUGACGGUGAGGCGCGAAAGCGUGGGGAGCAAACAG